AACGAACGCUGGCGGCAUGCCUAACACAUGCAAGUCGAACGAGACCUUCGGGUCUAGUGGCGCACGGGUGCGUAACGCGUGGGAAUCUACCCUUGGGUUCGGAAUAACAGUUAGAAAUGACUGCUAAUACCGGAUGAUGACGUAAGUCCAAAGAUUUAUCGCCCAAGGAUGAGCCCGCGUAAGAUUAGCUUGUUGGUGGGGUAAUGGCCUACCAAGGCGACGAUCUUUAGCUGGUCUGAGAGGAUGAUCAGCCACACUGGGACUGAGACACGGCGCAGACUCCUACGGGAGGCAGCAGUGGGAAAUAUUGGACAAUGGGCGAAAGCCUGAUCCAGCAAUGCCGCGUGAGUGAUGAAGGCCUUAGGGUUGUAAAGCUCUUUUACCAGGGAUGAUAAUGACAGUACCUGGAGAAUAAGCUCCGGCUAACUCCGUGCCAGCAGCCGCAGUAA
rnacentral:rRNA from 1 species